GACGAACGCUGGCGGCGUGCUUAACACAUGCAAGUCGAGCGGUAAGGCCCUUUCGGGGGUACGACGAGCGGCGAACGGGUGAGUAACACGUGGGUGACCUGCCCUCAGCUCUGGGAUAAGCCUGGGAAACCGGGGUCUAAUACCGGAUAUGACUCCAUGACGCAUGUUGUGGGGUGGAAAGCCUUGUGCGGCUGAGGAUGGGCCCGCGGCCUAUCAGCUUGUUGGUGGGGUGAUGGCCUACCAAGGCGACGACGGGUAGCCGGCCUGAGAGGGCGACCGGCCACACUGGGGACUGAGACACGGCCCAGACUCCUACGGGAGGCAGCAGUGGGGAAUCUUGCGCAAUGGGCGAAAGCCUGACGCAGCGACGCCGCGUGAGGGAUGACGGCCUGGUGUAACUACUUC
rnacentral:rRNA from 1 species